GAUGAACGCUGGCGGCGUGCCUAAUACAUGCAAGUCGAGCGAACAGAUAAGGAGCUUGCUCCUUUGACGUUAGCGGCGGACGGGUGAGUAACACGUGGGUAACCUACCUAUAAGACUGGGAUAACUUCGGGAAACCGGAGCUAAUACCGGAUAAUAUUUCGAACCGCAUGGUUCGAUAGUGAAAGAUGGUUUUGCUAUCACUUAUAGAUGGACCCGCGCCGUAUUAGCUAGUUGGUAAGGUAACGGCUUACCAAGGCGACGAUACGUAGCCGACCUGAGAGGGUGAUCGGCCACACUGGAACUGAGACACGGUCCAGACUCCUACGGGAGGCAGCAGUAGGGAAUCUUCCGCAAUGGGCGAAAGCCUGACGGAGCAACGCCGCGUGAGUGAUGAAGGUCGUCGGAUCGUAAAACUCUGUUAUUAGGGAAGAACAUACGUGUAAGUAACUGUGCACGUCGUGACGGUACCUAAUCAGAAAGCCACGGCUAACUACGUG
rnacentral:rRNA from 1 species